AUUGAACGCUGGCGGCAGGCCUAACACAUGCAAGUAGAACGCGUCGCGGACGGGUGCGUAAGGUCUGAGAAACUGCCUGAUGGAGGGGGAAAACUACUGGAAACGGUAGCUAAUACAGCAUACCAACGGAUGUGCCACGAUGGGAUUAGCUAGUAGGUGGGGUAACGGCUCACCUAGGCGACGAACCCUAGCUGGUCUGAGAGGAUGACCAGCCAGUCUGUAACGGAGACACAGUCCAGACUCCUACGGGAGGCAGCAGUGGGGAAUAUUGCACAAUGGGCGCAAGCCAGAUGCAGCCAUGACGCGUGUAUGAAGAAGGCCUUCGGGUUGUAAAGGACUUUGAGAGGGGAGGCGUAACCCGCAGAAGAAUCACAGGCUAAGUCCGUGCCAGCAGCCGCGGUAAUUC
rnacentral:rRNA from 1 species